rnacentral:rRNA from 1 species
ACGAACGCUGGCGGCAUGCCUAACACAUGCAAGUCGAACGAGACCUUCGGGUCUAGUGGCGCACGGGUGCGUCACGCGUGGGAACCUGCCCUUAGGUUCGGAAUAACUCCCCGAGAGGGGUGCUAAUACCGGAUAAUGUCUUCGGACCAAAGAUUUAUCGCCUUUGGAUGGGCCCGCGUUGGAUUAGCUAGUUGGUAGGGUAAAAGCCUACCAAGGCGACGAUCCAUAGCUGGUCUGAGAGGAUGAUCAGCCACACUGGGACUGAGACACGGCCCAGACUCCUACGGGAGGCAGCAGUGGGGAAUAUUGGACAAUGGGCGAAAGCCUGAUCCAGCAAUGCCGCGUGAGUGAUGAAGGCCUUAGGGUUGUAAAGCUCUUUUACCCGGGAUGAUAAUGACAGUACCGGGAGAAUAAGCUCCGGCUAACUCCGUG